rnacentral:tRNA from 1 species
GCCUGGGUGGCUCAGUUGGUUGAGUGUCUGACUUCGGCUCAGGUCAUGAUCUUGCGGUUUGUGGGUUCGAGCUCCGCAUUGGGCU